CUUUUUUUUUCCUAGUCAAACUUUUUUAAGUUUGACCGAGUGUAUAGAAAAAUAUGGCAACAUUUUCACCACAAAACAAACAUAUUAUCAAAAUAUAUUCAAUGUUAUAAUAAAACUAAUUUGGUCUUGUAGAUGUUGCUAUUUUUUUCUAUAAACUUGGUCAAACCUAAAAAAGUUUGACUAGAAAAAAAAGGCA
rnacentral:pre_miRNA from 1 species